rnacentral:piRNA from 1 species
UAAAAAUGCUUUUGUUUCAAU